CCUGCGACGUCAAACGAAAGGACUGCCCUAACCUCGUGCAGUCGUGCCCGCUUGUUUCACUUGCUCGCCUUCACCCCUCGCCGCCGCCGUCGCCGCCGUCGCAAGCGACGAUGCUCGACAUCAACUUGUUCCGCACUGACAAGGGCGGCAACCCGGACCUUAUUCACGAGUCCCAGUGCAGUCGGUUCGCCUCCGUCGAGCUCGUCGACGAGGUCAUCGCCCUCGACAAGGCAUGGCGCGAAAGGCAGUUCGAGCUGGAUAAGAUCCGGCAGGAGCUCAACGCUACCAGCAAGAAGAUCGACAAGCUCAAAGCCAGCAAGCAAGAAGAGGAAGCAAAGAAGCUCAUGGAAAUUUAGUUGGUGUUUGUUCUGGCUAUUUGCUUUCCACUGAAGUAACCGUUAGACUGUAGUGUGACAUCCUAAAUAUUAGCUCCACUGUCAACUCCAACCCUGAUUCUCACACUCACAAUUUGAUUGUUGGAAUUCUAAUUGUGCUUUAGGGUUCUAUGUGAAGAUACAAAAAAAUAUUGCAUUCCUAUUCUGGUCCCGUAUUGAAAUUGCCAGUGGUCCCUCUGAAUUUUGAUCCAAUUGUUAUAAAUUUCAGAUGAACUGAAUAAAACUACUACUUGUAGGCAAACAAUAAAAUUGUACGGGCAUUUGGAGAGAAGAGAGUAGAGGAUAAUUUGAAGAACCACGUGGACCUUUGCAGGAUGCUUGAUAUUGUCGCAUUGGAAAAGGCCAUUGUCUCAGAUAGAUAACCUUCUGCAGACAUCUUAUGAUCAAGGGGACAAAUGAGAUCAUGCCAACUCUACUCCAUGUACUGCUGGUGUCACAGGAUUAAUAUACAAUGAAGAUGUUGAUUCUUGGAGUUGCACGAAAUAACCUUGUGAUUGUGAUUAGUUACUUCAAAGCGUUUUUUGGUCUUAAUGCAUGGUAAGUUUAUUCACCUUUUAUUUCAUCAGACAUUAUGACAUUCCAUUUUGAGACAAGGAUCUACAACAAUUAUGUAGAAGCAAUCCUUUAACAACAUAUGUUACAGUUAAUAUAUUAUGUUUUUUCUACAUGUACUCAUUUGAAACAAGUACCAGUUCAUUCCUCAGCUGAUCUUCUUGAACAACUUAUUUGGUUACCUGUCCUUGCUAAUUAUUAUUAAGGGGUGAAAUGCAGAUCUAUACCAUGUUAUGAUGUACAUGUUCUUUAGCCCAACAAAUGAUUUUUGUGAGAACUAGUUUUUUGUGAGAUCUAUACCAUGUUAGUCCAGAAGACAGUGCAUGUCUAUAUUCCUUGUUGGUAAGUUCUCUUCUGUGAAGCAGACUGAUCUAUCAUGCCUAACCACUCGCCUUCUCUAACACCAGCUUAUUCUACUUCUACUUGCUUUAGUGUUUGUGCCUUGGAUGUAGUAAUACUACAUUGUUAAAUUAUUUUUCUUUACAAACAAAUAUAUAACCUUAUGAAUACUAGAAAUUGACGUUGCUAAUAAUAGAGCAAAGAGACCUACACAUAUCUAAAACAUAGAACCCCACAGUUCUAAAGUCGUAUGACCUAUAUUCUCUAUUUCAUACAUAAUUACUUACUAAUUCCUUGGUUAUUUUCAAUAGGAUGGGAGAGUGUCGGAUGCUUCUUCAUAUACUAUUUCUUGGUCCAUCAAAUCUGCUUGACUCAAAUGCAAGUUUUGCUCAAAUGUGGCAAAAAUAAUUGUCUCACCAAUUGUCAGCGCGCCUGUUUCCAGCAAAGUUUCAGAGAAGGAAAAGAUGGAAUGUAACUCAAAUUUUGGUGGCCGCACAAGUGUGGAGACUUGAAUUCAUAUAUACUUAGUUAGGCUCAAUAUUAGUGCAAACAGUUGAUAACCAAGUUUUUCAAUUAGUAUUUAGUUUUGGCUUUAGAGUACACUUAUGUAUGAGUUAUUUGACAAUAUUUAUUUAUGAGAUAUUGAAUGGUACUUAUCUA